GUUUUAAUUCAUUUCUUUUGUCUUGUCUCAUUUGGAAAUUGUUUCUUUUGCUUACCUAUCUCUUGGAUUGUGAAUACUCUGUUUAGUUUAUUACUUGGUCAAUUUGCCAUACUUCAUUCGUUUUGGAUAUUUGACUUGACUGAUUCUAGUAUAUGGAAAAGGGGGAAAAUAUGGUUUGUUGUAAUUUCAUCUUGUCUCGCAUGUUUUAGGAUCGGGCUUGGUCAAAUGCAUGAAAAAUGAGAAAUUAAAAAAGGAAUAAGCAUGGAAUUAAUUCUUGUAGUUUUAUUUGUUUCGCUCUUCUUACUUGCCCGUUAGUCGUAUGUUUAGGCCGACAACACUUGAUUAGGCAAGUCUUAGGAGUUUGUUUGGAUUUUGAGGCGAGAGGUCGUUCCUUAGUUAAAUUUAUCUGGGGCAUGCCCGAAGGAUUUGUAUAUAUUUUAUUCCGGGGAAUGCCCCGAAGUACUUGUAUUUGGAGGCCUAAAAUGAAACCCGUAGUAUUUUUAGUUUUAUUUUCCUUUUAUUAGGUGGGAACGACCUCGAGCCUCUUGUGUGUUUAGUUUCCCUUUUCUGUGUUUUCUACCUCAAUUGAAUAUUUUUAAAGCCAACGUCAUCAAGUACGCAACCGUACUAGUUACGGGAUUUGGGGAGUGCUUAACACCUACUCCCGAGUCAAAUGAACCCCUUACCUGAAUCUCUGGUGCGUACUUAGUUUUGAGUUCAAGUGUUUUAAAAGGAAAAAUAUUUUCUAAAAACUGGUGGCCUGGCACACCGAAGUCAAAUGCCAGGUGGCGACUCUGAGAUUUCCUUUUGAACAAAUUUUGUCACUUUGGAAUUUGAAAACCCUUUUCAAGCUUUAUUUAAAUUUUUUUUAUUAAUUUAAGAGGGCUAAGUAGAGUUUGAUUUUUUUUAAAAAGGGUGUGUGACACAGCAAAUAUUAUUGCUGAACCAGAAUCUUCUGACCGUAGCCAUUAUAACAUUGCUAGUUCUUCUCAUUCUGGUGUCACUAGUUCUCCUGAGCAAAGUUCUGUGAUUCCUGGUUUGAGUAUGCAGCAGUACAAUCAGUUAAUGACUUUACUGCAACAGCCCCACUUGAAAGAUUCUAAUACUUAGUCUAAUCUGAUGCCUUCUGCCAAUUUUGCCGGUACUCUACUAACUGAUGAUCUGCUGAAUGGUUCUAGUUCUAGUUCUUGCAUGCUUUCUCAAUCAAUAAAUUUAACCUGGAUAGUUGAUUCUAGUGCUAUCGACCAUAUAACAUAUAAUAAAUAUUUUCUAUCAAAUCUUACUCCUUUACAUGUACCUUAUCUUGUGUCACUUCCUAAUGAUUAUAAAAUACAAGUGACCUGCACUGGUUCUUUUAUUUUAAACCCUUACUUUCAUCGUUCACAAUGUUCUCUAAAUUCACUCUUUUUAAUAUAAUCUGAUCUCUGUGCAUAGGAUUAUAUAACAAUUCAAAUAUUUUGUUCUGUUCGCUUAUGAAUCUUUUUUACUUAUACCACAUGGCCCUUUUUUGAAGAAACCUCUUGAUCUUGAUAAGUUGGAUAGUGGCGUGUACAAGUUUGUGUGGAAAAGGCCUUCCACUCAUUCUCAGCUUUUGACCAAUUUAGAUUCUACAAAUAAUGUUGUCUCAUCUUGUGUUCAUCCUGCUUCUCCCAUGAUUAAUGUUGUCUCAUUUUGUUCCUUCUUCUACUUGUAAUUCUGGUUCUAUUCCGCCUAAUGUGUGUGAUAUUCUUUUUAAUUGUGAUACUACUAGCAUGAAUAAAAUGGAUGUUGUUUGGCAUCAAAGGCUUGCACAUGUUCCAUUUGUUAGAAUGAAACUCAUUUCUGGUUUGUCUGAUUCUAUGUCAUCCAAACUAUCUUUCAUUUGUAUUGUUUGUCCUAUGUCCAGGCAAAUUAGAUUGUCUUUUCCAGAUAGUACUAUUAGUACCAACUCACCUUUUCAACUCAUUCACGUUGAUACUUGGGAUCCUUACCAUACUACAACUUAUUCCGGAACUAGAUGCUUCCUUACUAUUGUCGAUAAUUAUACAAGAGCCACCUAGACA
rnacentral:lncRNA from 1 species